rnacentral:rRNA from 1 species
UAGGGAAUCUUCGGCAAUGGACGAAAGUCUGACCGAGCAACGCCGCGUGAGUGAAGAAGGUUUUCGGAUCGUAAAACUCUGUUGUUAGAGAAGAACAAGGACGUUAGUAACUGAACGUCCCCUGACGGUAUCUAACCAGAAAGCCACGGCUAACUACGUGCCAGCAGCCGCGGUAAUACGUAGGUGGCAAGCGUUGUCCGGAUGUAUUGGGCGUAAAGCGAGCGCAGGUGGUUUCUUAAGUCGGAUGUGAAAGCCCCCGGCUCAACCGGGGAGGGUCAUUGGAAACUGGGAGAAUUGAGUGCAGAAGAGGAGAGUGGAAUUCCAUGUGUAGCGGUGAAAUGCGUAGAUAUAUGGAGGAACCCCAGUGGCGAAGGCUGCUCUCUGGUCUGUAACUGACGCUGAGGCUCGAAAGCGUGGGGAGCAAACAGG